rnacentral:rRNA from 1 species
AUGAUAGGAGCGUAUUCGUUGACCGCUCACGCUUCUGUAUAUAAAUGUGCAUUCGAGUUGUGGCUGUUUAUCUCAGCAUACAGUUUGCUCUUUUUUUCUGACAAAGUACAGUUCGCCCUUUUGAGCCAUUUGUGUUUGCGAUUGUUGGGUUUGAUAGGAAUUCUUAUCAUGCUAGGAUCAUUACCCCAUCGGCAAUGUUCAAGUGUGGAUCAAGAUGGACGUCCCAUGAGUAUAAGGGGAGGCGUAAAUGCAUACAUACAUCUUCCGAGGCAACCCGGCUCCGAUGCAAGUGUCAGCCGAAGAGAAUGCCGGGCAAGCUGCACUUCAACACCACUGCACGACGUGAGCAUCAACGGCUACAACCCUGAUGCGCUCGGCACAAUUCUUAUAAUUGUUUCACAGACAGGAUCAGGCAAGAAACAAGGAAUGGCAAGCGGAUGGCAUGCAAAUAAGCCCUCACCCUCCACAAAGAGAGGAGACCGGACGUAA